GCAGCCUGGGGGGCACCACGACCUCCAACACAGAUUAUUUGGUGUUAGCUCGCUUCGUGCAUGUUUGGGUACUGGUUUCCUGACAACCCACUGACUUGUUCCUACGUUGGCAAAGAUACAGAGAACGUGAAUGAAAGCAGCUCUUGAUUUGUGCCAUUUUAUAUUGAGUCCAUUUAGUUCAUUUAGUCAUGGAGUCAUGACAAAGUGGACUGAAAAGGACAAAGUUUCAUAUAUCAGCCUAACAACCUGAAAUGUCACUGUUUUCCUCCUGUUCUGAACACUUGCUGAUUUUGUACUGCUGCAUGUGUCUGUCCUUGUGCCUUGUUCUCAGUGGAUACCAAAGACAUGCUAGGAAGCCUUUUACCAAAUUUUAGAUGUUUCUAUAAGAAAAAUGAUGCAGGUUUAACAACCUGUGUAGGUAUUUGUAGAAAAGCAAAUGUGUUUCCCUCUUGGCUGUUUAGUUGUCUGUAACAAUAAUGUCAUAAAUAAAUAAUGUUUCCGUGAGGGGAAAGAGGAGAUGUUUAUCAGAUAGAAUACAUGCCAGUUAGGAUAACUCUGAACAAAAUGUUAACAUGGAUUAAACAGGAAAACAUGCUGCUGGCAAACAAAUUGUUGGUGAAAACAGCUUCAGCUAGGGAGUUCCUUUCUCUGUUGGAUAGAAAUGGUGCCUGCCAUGCAGACCAGCUUUUAAAAUUAAGACAUUUGUCACAAGAACUGCUGGGUCUGUGGAAACAUUCAAAUGAUAAUAAUUUAAGUGCUGCAAUAGGAUAAUGCACAAUAAAUAGUACAUGGAACUGUACAAAUGUUGCAAAUUAUAGUAGGAUCAGAGAGAUAAUGCCUAAGGGAUUACUUUUUCCUUUCCUGAAAUUAUUUUUCAACUGAAUUUAAAACCUGAAUCUGUUUUGUUGAAAUCAAGGUGAGGCUUUCCUUUGUGUUUAAUGGAUUCUGGAGCAGGUCAUUAAUGAAGACGAGCUGGUCAGUCCUUGGAGAAUGAAUCCUAGUUGUCCAGAGAAUAGAUGCAUCAAGUUCUGUGUUUUUUUAAUACUGUUUUGUCAAUCUAUUUCCUGCUCCUUGUUUUGAGACAUGCAAGGCUAGCUCAUCAUCGUUCCACUUCCACUUGGCUUCCUUUGCUAAGAUUGUCAGUUAGGAGAAAAAACAGUGAUAGCUUUUGGUAAUCAGUGUGCACAUCUCCAUUAGCAGCUGUACUAAGACCGCCAACUAAUUGCUGCGCAAGAAUUACCACUCAGAAAUGUGAAUCAGCAGAAAUAAUGGCAAAGCCAUGCCUGUCUAAUUGUUUUUUUUGUUUUUGGUUUUUUUUUUUCCUGUUGUUUUAUUUGUUAAAGUUGUAGAGGGCUGGAUGACUAGUGCAACUCACAAGUGAUGCUGCCUCAGAACAGUCCUACCUCUUUGUAGCCAUUGCAAGCUCUUUGAGGAAAAUAAAGUGGGCAUUAUAGAUUAAGAAGGAAAAAAUAUACUAAAGGGGGCUUUGAUGUUAUUAAAGUACAUGCUCCAAGUUCAACAUGUGCUUAUGCUUUUUUAAAAUUAUUAUUCUUUAAGAAUAUGAUUGCCAUCCUGAAUUGACUUCUUAAUUAGUCUUUGGCAUCUGUUAAAGGAAUUGUACAUUUGUAGUUUUCUUCUCCCUUCUUUUAGAGACAUGUAUUUGCUUGAGACUUGGCAUAUUUUUAAUAUCGGUAAAUGGCCCUAAUAAAUAAUGUGAAAAUGGAAAUCAUGUAAAAAUUUCUACUCCAGCAUCAAACUGAUUAAUCUAUGAUUAUCUGGUUAUUGUUUAUUCAUGUACUUCAUCAGCCCACUUCGUUCAAAACACAGGAAAAAUCUGGUGUUUAAUAGCAAGUAUGCUUAUUGGUUAAACUGGGCUACAUUUGAAGAAUGGGAAGAGAGAAAAAAGUAGCAAGGCAAGGUUUGAAAGCUGCAGAAGAAAAUGUAGAGACAUUAGAGAUAGCUGAAUUAUGAAGAAGGUAAGUGCAUUCAAUCAGUUGCUUUCUGUUGGCUUGAGGGUAAUCUCUGCCACAUUACAAUGUACUGAUUUAUGGACUAAUUAGUUGUACAAAACAAAAAUAUUUAUAGAAAAUAUUUCUCUCAAGCCGCCACCAAACCAACCAAACAAUAGAAGAACGGAUUUUGUGUAUUAAAAGAUUAAAUUCAAUAUAUAUUUAUGAGCCCAUUCAAAAUGUCGAGUCUUUUUGCUACCAGAUUUCCAGUAAGCAGAAAUAUCUAUGUAUCAAAAGCUAAUUGUGUCAGUAUCUAGACAUCUAUGAAAGACAUGAAAUGCCUAAGCUAUAGGUAUUUCAAACUAUAAAAGAUAUUAUGUAUUAAUUUAUAAAGUCAUAAUGUUGUUAUUGUAUGAGAUUAAACAUAUCCAAUAAAGUCAGAUAAGGAAGGGAAAAACACCCCAUAGCCAUCUUCUUUUGGGCAAGGAUUUCAGUGUUUUAUUGUUUUCUCUGUAUGCACAUCCUUUUAAUUUCUCAGACUGUUAGGAUGCUUCCAAUUACUUUGACUCACACAUAACAUUGCUUCAAAAAACAGUAGUUGUGGUUUCCUUCUAGCCUUAGACUGAAGUGCAAAAGAGAAAAAACCAAACCAGGAAAAUCAAAUGUGUGAGUUACAUAUCACAACAUUGAAACUCCAAGCAUGGUAGGCAAAGACAAUGUUUUGGGAGAUGUAAUGUAAAAUAGUCUUGGAUAAGAUAAUGUGAAGUAAGUGGGUGGCAAAUACAUGCAGAUGGAAGACUAUUUAACUUCAGAUUUGUGUAAUUUGGAUGGAGUAGGGAACUGUAGGUCUCAGUACUUAUUGCGGUGGAUGAGGUGUCAGAAUUCAUCUUUCUUUCUGUAAUUGACUUUGUAAGUCUUUCAACAUCUUCAAGCUUCGGUCCCCAGGAAUGAAAUGGAUUAGUAUGUCUCUCUGCUUUGCAGUAGAGUCAUGAGGCUAACCUCAAUAAAGUCUGGGAGACACUCAGAUACUAGAUAUUGCCAGUAACCGAGAAACCUGUCAAAAAAUUGUUCACCACUAAAUCUACAUAGUUUAGUCAUCGUUCCUUACAUCCUACUCAAUGAGAGAAUUAUAAAAGGAGUUGUGACUCUCUACCAGAUCUAGGGAGGCAAAAGAGCACUGUCAAGACUAAUUCAUAGGUACCAAUCCACCUACUUUUUGCCUGUGGGAGAUCUCUAGAGCAAAGUAAGAAAUAUACUUUAUGAGGGCAUAGAAAAAAACUGACAUGAGGAAAGAAAGCAAGCUGUAGAAUGGCAAAAGAAAGCAGUAUAAUAAAUGUAGUUACUGGAGUGCUCUACAUGCGGUUCUCCCAUCCUACUAAACAACAGUAAUUAAAGGUAAGAGAAGUUAACAAGAAAUGUAUUAAAUGAGUCAGUGUAGUCGUUCAGACCCUAGUUCAGUCCUGUGUUGAACAUGGUGACAGCAGAUGCCAGUAGAAGGUCUAGGGGGAAAAUGUUCGCUUCGGAACACAUUUAAUAUUCUAUCUCCUUAUAAGAACUACGUGUAAUGAUUUAGGAGGUGUGUGGUGAAGAGCAGAUGUAACUGCUUUGGUCUGAGGGAGGCCUGUGAUGUGGUUUGUCAAAGGUUGUUGAAAAGCAGCUGCUUUGUGAACACCUGGACUAGAUGGCCAGGCUAGUACUGCUAAAUUCACAGCUGGAGCCAAAGACAAAGCAGAGGUGGUGCUGAUGGGCUUAGGCUCUCCCAGAAGAUAGGUGAGCAGUGUCUCACCUAGACAGGAGGUGAAAUGCUGAAAUCCUCGGGCGGUGAGUGUCCUGUCUGUGCAAGGCUGAAGUCCUGCAGUUUUCACGUCAGGGAGUACAAUGCUAAAUACUGCGUCUACGGAUUUAUGCAUAUGUACAUAGUAUCCAGAUUGGCUUUUUCCCUGAGCUCCUGGUAUAUUUUUAGCCUGGGGACAACUUAAGUUCUCUUUCUUUUCACUUUCCCAGUAUUGGGUUUCCCCUAAAUGUUAUAACUCUUGAAAAACAGUGGAUUUUUUGCUUUGUUUCCCUCUGGAUUCCAAUGUCUUUCAUAUACACUUCUGUUUUGGACUAGGGUAAAAUUUGUGUCUGACUGGUAGUGAGAACAGAAUUGUUAAUUCUACUUUGUCUUGUUCUUGCUAGUCUACAUUUUCUUUUCAGUAACCUCUGCUCCCACUGUGUGGGCUCCAACCUUUGUUUCUGUAUUCAAGCUUUUACGUUCCUGCACUGGAGCUGAAGACGCUGUGUUAGCAUUUGAAUCCCAUCUCCUGUGAAUGCUUUUUAGCUCUAUUAGGUGAGAAGUGAACCAUGUUCUCAGUGGAUGUACAAGGACUGAAAUGUUUUCAUUUACAUAUUCAGGCAUUCACAAGGACAGGACACCCACUCCAAGAAACAUAGACUAUGUUGGAAUAUGUGUAUAUAUUUUCAGGUGGAAAAUGAAGCAGAUACUGCAGCUACAUGUUAUAAUGCAAGGAUCCUACCAUAUCUUCAGGAAAAGGAAUCAUUCUUCGCAGCUUCUGAAAUGGGGAACAGGAUUUGCCUUCAUUUUCCACUGAAUUAAAAUAAAAAAUCAGGUAAAGCAGUGAUGAGUGAUGUAAAUCUCCUCUCUCAGAGAUGCACACAUAAUUUUACAAAUAUACUUGGAAUACAGUAGUAGAAACUUAUAUUAAAAAUUUUCAAUUAGUGAAGUUCUGUGGAGUUCAGAGGAAAAAAAUAAUGAAGCUGAAGAAAAGGAUGAUUGGUAAGAAAACUUUCCACUGAAUGUACUCCUGUAUAAAAUUGUAAUUUUAUUAAUAGGUGAGGGAGAAUAAAAUGCAUGAAAUGGUAGCUAAAUAUGUGGAAAGCCAUAUACUCUGCCCUGGUUUAGAAAUCAUAAGUAUAUGAAAUUGAAAUCCAGCUGAAUUGAUUGUGAUCUGAUAUUCAUUAUACUUCAGCACUGCUGGUAGAAUCCCUUCUAACCAGAAGUGCAUAACAUGCUUUCUUAGCACUUUCUCAAAGCCUUGAGCUUGUAAUGACAAUAAAAUGCAUCUUUUCCAGUCUGAAUUUGGUCUGUGCUAAUAAGCUUUGAGAAAACUUAAAUUUCACAUUUUAAUAUCAGAAAUCUACUUAAUUAUAAGUAAUCUCCAUCUCUGCAUGUCACCUGUAUUAGCAUUUAUAUUCCUCAUUGAGUCGCAAUGUAAUUUUCGGUUUAUUGUUUUGAGCAUCCUUCUAGUAUAUACCUGCCAUCUCAUGUAAGCCACGGCAGGCAACCAGGCAAGCUCUUUAUUUAUCUUUGCCUUAUCUUAUUUAGUCCACCAAAAGACAUUGGCAGUGUGAAUAGUAAACCUUCUACAUGUAGGGCCAAGGUGAGAGCCUGAACAAGCAAGCACCAGCUUGAUGUCUUCAUCGUCCCCAUCUUCAUAGGAUUCUGCUAAAAAUGAGGACCUGACCUGCCUGCCAGUUUCCUAAGGCUGGGCACUGGCCUGCAAAGCUGCUUUCCUCAGCGUAAAGAGCUCACCCAAGAAGGUAGUGCUCUAAAUUCUGCUCUGCUCACCACUUGGAAGAAGCAGCCAGGUAGAAUUUAUUUCCCUCAGGAAUUUGUCUUUUGCUGAUUAAUUGUUUUCCAUACCAGGCUAUUAUGUUGGUAAAAUAUUUAUAGGCAUUAUGAUGAAAAUUGCCAGGAAAUGAAUUCACAGUCUUCCUACCUUUUGAUAUUUUUUAUUUUUUUUUUUUAAUUUUCCCAGGACAACACGGCUUUGGUUUUGGCUUGUCUCUAUUCUCGCUCUCCUUUUCUGUCACACUCAGUAAUUGGCCUAAUAACAGGCAGAAACAAGAAUUUAUUACACCUUGGGCAGUUUUUGAAACAAACUUUAUUUGCUGGAGCAGCACUUUUUUUCUACUUGCUGCUGUGUACUUUGACGUUCCUUCUAAAUAUGAAAUUUGACUUUACUGAAAGUUAAAUCUGGUCCUUUUUUUUUAAUUUAUUUGUGAUUGCUGCUAUUUUUGCAGUUUCUUAAGACAGGCUAGUACAUAUAUAAACAUAUCAUUUUAAUGAAGGUUUUGGAGAAACAAUAUAAGCUGUGGCUAUACUACUUCAUUACUGCCAGAAUCCACAAAACUGGUAUGAAUUAAAUACUAGCUUCUGUAAUAGCUUGUAAAUCAGUUUUGGAAUAAUUUCUGUGAUAAGCUGAGAGAACAAAGAUGAGAACUAUUUAACUAUUCCAAGCUUGGGAUUUGAUGAAAUC